rnacentral:lncRNA from 1 species
CCUGAAUAUAAGGCAUUGUAAUUUACACACUUUAUAAACUUUUCUGUUUAAAUAUUGUCAUUGAUUUUUGAUCAGAGGAAAUGUUCAGUUUGGGUUUCUGUAGCUCACUUCUUUUAGAAGAAAUAGGCUAUUGAAUCCCAUCUCUCUGAAAUUUUGCUUUUUCACCAAGGAAGGCAAAAAGAUGCUGCCCUGACAUAGCAGGGUGCAAAGCUCCCUUUUUUGUUUCAGGACCCUUUAAGCUGUUGCCAUCUCUUUUUUUUUUUUUUUUUUUUUUUUUUCUUUUCUGCACAGCCAUUCUUUGGGUGCUGCUUCUGUCUGGCUGGAGACCCUGCUUGCAGUUACCUGCUUCUGUGAAGGAGCUUAGCCUGGCUCUCAAAAUGAAGACUUUCAGGUGUUUUCUGCCUAGACAUCCUAAGGGAGAGCUAUGAGAGGUGUUCAGGAACAAGCCUCUCAAUGCCUUCAUGUUAUAUUUUGGAACAGCUGGUCCAGGCAAAGAGAAGAUGGAAAGUUGUGGGAGAGCUGUGCAUGGAACAAGAGCCUUCAAAUCCUGGACAGACCUCAUGGGCAGCUGGCAGGUUUCUGUAGUUCCUGCAGCAGGAGAGGGCAGCCUGGAGGACCUUAGCAGCUGCAGAAGGAAGACGACGUUGAGUGCAGAUAUUCCAAAACCUGGACAGAAGCUAUGCCCAGUGGGUUUUUACAGAGUGCCUGGCCUUAUGUGCAUUUGA